rnacentral:rRNA from 1 species
UGGGGAAUAUUGGACAAUGGGCGAAAGCCUGAUCCAGCCAUGCCGCGUGUGUGAAGAAGGUCUUCGGAUUGUAAAGCACUUUAAGUUGGGAGGAAGGGCAUUAACCUAAUACGUUAGUGUUUUGACGUUACCGACAGAAUAAGCACCGGCUAACUCUGUGCCAGCAGCCGCGGUAAUACAGAGGGAGCAAGCGUUAAUCGGACUUACUGGGCGUAAAGCGCGCGUAGGUGGAUUGUUAAGUUGGAUGUGAAAUCCCCGGGCUCAACCUGGGAACUGCAUUCAAAACUGACUGACUAGAGUAUGGUAGAGGGUGGUGGAAUUUCCUGUGUAGCGGUGAAAUGCGUAGAUAUAGGAAGGAACACCAGUGGCGAAGGCGACCACCUGGACUAAUACUGACACUGAGGUGCGAAAGCGUGGGGAGCAAACA